AAUUAAAUGAUGAAAAUCUUAAUCUGAAAGAAAGCUAUGCUGAUUUCACACUAAUUAACCAAAAGGAUACUGAAAAUAUAUU